CCUUGUUAAUUCUUAUCACUGCAGUGCUACCCUCUUACCAGAUCUUUUUUCCCAUCAUGCUUUUCUGGGGCCAGCUGUAGCCUUAAAGAAGCCAUUUUCCCACUGUCAACUGCUAUUUCCACCUCUCUUCUAGUUGCGAAUGAUUAUACUUUAUGUAUCAGCUUCUGAAACUGAUCACCAGGGAGCAACAGGUGCAACUGAAAUCAGGAUCUCUUUUUAAAAGAUUGGACUUAGAUGUACCAACUGUAAAACAAUGUUCUCCAUGAAGAAUAGCAUACUACUGUUUACCCCAUCACAAUGUUACCCCGACACCUUUAGGUUAUAGGUAGAUUCUGUUUCCAGGACAUUCACUUCUCUGGUGGAGUCACUCAGGAAUAUUUCACGUGGAACAGGGGUUGUGCUCCCUUUUCUUUCCACACCAAAUCAGAAUGAGCAGAGCUCUGAGCUUCUAGAAUUUGAAAUGCCAUUGCCUGAUUUUGUUUGCCAUUUGAUUAAGCCACCUUUAUCCAGACAAAUUCUUACAGACAUCAAUGAAAGUGUUUCAUGCAUUAAAACUGCAGGAUUGGGCCCUU